rnacentral:rRNA from 1 species
GAUGAACGCUGGCGGCGUGCCUAAUACAUGCAAGUCGAGCGAACAGAUGAGGAGCUUGCUCCUCUGACGUUAGCGGCGGACGGGUGAGUAACACGUGGAUAACCUACCUAUAAGACUGGGAUAACUUCGGGAAACCGGAGCUAAUACCGGAUAAUAUAUUGAACCGCAUGGUUCAAUAGUGAAAGACGGUUUUGCUGUCACUUAUAGAUGGAUCCGCGCCGCAUUAGCUAGUUGGUAAGGUAACGGCUUACCAAGGCAACGAUGCGUAGCCGACCUGAGAGGGUGAUCGGCCACCCCUGAACUGGGACACGGACCCGGCCCCUACGGGGACGAGCAGUAGGGAAUAUUCCGAAAUGGGCAGAAGCCUGACCGAGCAACGCCCCGGUAGGGAUGAAGGUCUUCGGAUCGUAAAACUUUGUUAUUAGGGAAGAACAAAUGUGGAAGUCACUAUGCACGUCUUGACGGGUACCAAACAGAAAGCCACGGCUAACUACGUG